rnacentral:tRNA from 1 species
GGACGCGUAGCUCAGCGGGAGAGCACUACGUUGACAUCGUAGGGGUCACAGGUUCAAUCCCUGUCACGUCCA